rnacentral:rRNA from 1 species
CCCUUAGAUGUUCUGGGCCGCACGCGCGCUACAAUGGUCUUCGCAAACGGAUGCAUUCUCGAAGGAGAAUGCCAAUCUUGGAAUCUAUGCCUUGGUCGGGACAGUUGCUUGCAAUUUUUCGACUCGAACCAGGAAUUCCUUGUAAUCGUGAUUCAUUACAUCACGAUGAAUACGUCCCUGCCCUUUGUACACACCGCCCGUCGCUCCUACCGAUCGAAGAGUUAGGUGAAUUGUUUUGAUCGAUAAGAUUUGACUAUGGUCAACUCUCGUUGUGAAAUUCUGUGAAUCUGACUGUUUAGAGGAAGGAAAAGUCGUAACA